CAAUGAGAUAGAAAAACGCCCAUCAAUAUGGGACAUGAAAUCUCCCCACUACAAGGACAGGGUGAUGAAGAAAAAACACUGGGAAGAGGUCGCUGACAUUUUCUGUCCUGACGGAGAAAUCAAGGAAAAACAGAAUGUAGGCCUGGUCUUGCAGAAAAAGUGGAAAAAUUUGAGGGAUUCCUUCUCGAAGGAAAUGAAAAAACAAGAGUCUUCCAUCUGGAUCAAAGGGAUCAGGAGGUUACAAUUUUUGGAAAGUUCAGUCGCUAGCAACGAAACUACUAGCAACAUUGAUGGAGAGGAAGAAGCACAAGAUGAUAUUGACACAACAGAACAUCAUAGAGCGGAAAUCACACCAGCAAAGAAAAAAGUGAAGUUCAAUUCAGGCGAUUUGCAUAUUGCUAAUAUUUUGGAAAGGAGUUUAUUGGCAAGGCAGAUGGAAACUGAGCAACAGAAUGAUGAAGAUAAACUCUUUUGCUUGUCACUCUAUAGCGAACUGAAAAAAGUGCCAGAAAAUAACCGCUUGAUGACGAAAAUUGAACUGUUACAUAUUGUUCAUCGUGCUCAAACACUCAACAAUCCACACACCUAUAUUAAUCAGUCAUACCCAUAUCAUUACUCAGGAAACCCUCAUCAUUCACAACCUUACACAGUUUCUGGCUCUCAACCAGGCCACCAGACACACCAGAAUAUACAACCAAGUACAUCAGGAUACAACACAAAUAACAUACUAACACCACUUCCAGCUCCUUCACCAGGAACUGUAAGCCAAGCUUCUGAUACACAGUCAGACUAUAUUGAAAUGUUUGACUAAUUUGUUCACUGACAGCAAUCCUAAAUACGUAGCCUAUGCGUGCCACGGAGAAAGCAGAUGGGCUACUUGUGUUAUAAAAUAAAGUGAAUGGUCAUUUUUUCUUGCUCUGUAUUUUCAUUUAAAAAAUUAGUAUUUGUAUCCAAUGUACUGGCAACUGGAAAUUUAUAUGUAACUUUUUUCUUUGUUUUGUAUUAUGAACAACAACAACAACAACUUAUAAUAAAGUAUUCACCUUAAUGUUA